GACGAACGCUGGCGGCGUGCUUAACACAUGCAAGUCGAACGGAAAGGCCCUGCUUUUGUGGGGUUCUCGAGUGGCGAACGGGUGAGUAACACGUGAGUAACCUGCCCUUGACGUUGGGAUAACUUCAGGAAACUGGGGCUAAUACCGGAUAGGAGCUCCUGCUGCAUGGUGGGGGUUGGAAAGUUUCGGCGGUUGGGGAUGGACUCGCGGCUUAUCAGCUUGUUGGUGGGGUAGUUGCUUACCAAGGCUUUGACGGGUAGCCGGCAUGAGAGGGUGGACGGGGUCAUGGGGCCUGAGGUAGGGAGCAGACUGGAAUGGGAGGCAGUGGGGGGGAGUAUUGCCCAGUGGGGGGGAGUCUGAGGAGAAGAUGUCGCGAGCGGGAUGCCGGCCUUCUGGGGGUAAACCGCUUUCGCCUGUGACGAAGCGUGAGUGACGGUAAUGGGUAAAGAAGCACCGGCUAACUACGUG
rnacentral:rRNA from 1 species